rnacentral:rRNA from 1 species
AUCGCGGUCGAGCGGACAGAUGGGAGCUUGCUCCCUGAUGUUAGCGGCGGACGGGUGAGUAACACGUGGGUAACCUGCCUGUAAGACUGGGAUAACUCCGGGAAACCGGGGCUAAUACCGGAUGCUUGUUUGAACCGCAUGGUUCAAACAUAAAAGGUGGCUUCGGCUACCACUUACAGAUGGACCCGCGGCGCAUUAGCUAGUUGGUGAGGUAAUGGCUCACCAAGGCAACGAUGCGUAGCCGACCUGAGAGGGUGAUCGGCCACACUGGGACUGAGACACGGCCCAGACUCCUACGGGAGGCAGCAGUAGGGAAUCUUCCGCAAUGGACGAAAGUCUGACGGAGCAACGCCGCGUGAGUGAUGAAGGUUUUCGGAUCGUAAAGCUCUGUUGUUAGGGAAGAACAAGUACCGUUCGAAUAGGGCGGUACCUUGACGGUACCUAACCAGAAAGCCACGGCUAACUACGUGCCAGCAGCCGCGGUAAUACGUAGGUGGCAAGCGUUGUCCGGAAUUAUUGGGCGUAAAGGGCUCGCAGGCGGCUUCUAACUCUGAUGUGAAAGCCC